rnacentral:hammerhead_ribozyme from 1 species
GUCCAGUUGAGGAGUCCGAAAUAGGACGAAACGCGCAUCCUGGAU